UAAUAUAUCUACCAUGGUCCCACGAGA
rnacentral:piRNA from 1 species